UGGGAAGGGAAGAGGUGCAGGGUCAGUGGAAGGAAGUACGAGGCUGCAACAGGAGACGAGGGCUGACACAGAUGGUCCUAAAGACGGAAAUGGUGGUAGGAGACAUAAAUGCAAAAGAGUAAACGCAUGGGAGCAGCAGUGAGGGGGCAGUGGGGGCCAUGUGAUCCAAGCACCUGUGCUUUUGGACUGCCUCCGUCACCUAACCGUGACCUCCAGAUUGGGCUACACUGAAUACUCGUCCAGAGUGUUUGGGGUGGACCAGACUCUUCACGAAUAGCAUCUUUGAAUGUGAACAAGAGCAACAAAACAUCAGAUCAUGGCUCAAAUGACUGAGAAAGCCUCAUGAAGGAAGAAACCCUUGGGAAGGUCCAUGAACAGAGAUCCUGAUAUGGAAUACGGAACUAAUAGGCCACCACCAGCCGGAAGAGUUCGGGAAAGAUCGAGAGGAGACACUACCUGUCCGUCCACUUCCCAGAAUCCCUCUUGCUAGCAUCCAUCUUGGCUGAGCGAUGCGUGCGCCACCAGGAAAGACUCUGAAUUAGAAUGAUUGGCCAAAGACCACCCGGAAACUAAUCCCAUCACCAUAAAACCCAAGACUGCGAGCCACGCGGCAGAGCAGUUCUCCUGGGUUCCCUUACCUACUGCUCUCCACCCGGGUGCCCUUUCCCAAUAAAAUCUCUUGCUUUGUCAGCAUGUGUCUCCUCGGACAAUUCAUUUCCGAGUGUUAGACAAGAGCCCAGUUUCGGGCCCUGGAAGGGGUCCCCCUUCCUACAACAACUGGCGACCACGAAGGGACAUCUUCUUCGCUGAGACUGACGUCCUGACCACUCGGGGUUCUCAGGGGCCAGCUUGCCUGCCAAUGGACCAGACCCAGCGGCCGCAACUGGGACCCUUUUGUCCCUGGUCUCCUCCUGACGCGGACAACUGGCCAGAGUGCCCCGACCGGUAAGGAACAAGAGACUUUAUUGACCUCCCUCCUCUUCCCCCUCUCUUUCCUCUCCUUAGCCCUUCCUAUCCUUCCCGUUUUUCUAGUCCCCCGGUCCUGGACGCAGGAAUCUGGUCGAAGGGCCUCAGCUUAAGCUGAGGAUUGGAGACUGAUCACCUCCUCUUGGCAGAGAACUCGAAUUCUGGUUCUGGUAGGGCCGAGUUCCAGUCCUCCCUUCUCUGGAAGCCCAGGGAAAAGUCCCGUAACGCCUGGGUGUCUGCAGGUGGCAGGAGACGUCUGUAAGGCCACCCCUUUUUUUUCUCUCUCUCCCCCACUCCUAGA